UUUAAAUCCAUCCAUUUCCGUCAGUAUCUGAAGAAGCCCCUGUUCCCUCUCUGCACCACCCUAAGAAAGCAAACACAUGUCGUUUACUACAUAAAAUUAUUUCAAUGCAGUGCAGAUGUAUGUUAAUUAACAAAAUUAAUGAGCGAAAUGUCGUUUACUACAUAAAAUUAUUUCAACGCAGGGCAGAUGAAUGUUAAGUAACGAAAUUAAUGAGCGAACCAACUGAACGUAAUAAGGAGAAGCAAGACGUUUAGUAUUAGAAGUAAUACAGAACAUAUGUAUUGUAGAUUUAGCUCCCCAGAACAAGAAUGAAGUUGAAGUGAUAUUAGACAGGACUACUGUUCCUAGGGUAGACAACCCAGAUAUUUAAAUUCAGGGUUCUAGACGAAUGGUAUGACAGAUCAAGAGAUAACAGAUAAACUAGAAUAGCUUAAAUAGAAGGGUGCAGCAGGACAGCUCUGCAGUAGGAAGAUAUUUACCCCCCUGAAAGGCAAAUUCUAUAGGAGAAUUGUGAGACGAAAAUAUUAUACGGGGUGAUGUUGAGCCUAUAAGGCCUAAGAUAUUCACAAGAUGAUUGUCAUAGAAAUGUAGAUGUUAGAAUAGAUAUACGAUUAUAUAAGAUUAGACAUGAUCAUAAAAUGAUUACGGUCACUAAAAGGUGCAAGUAGCACAUAUAGAGGCUAAAACAAGAGAAGGUAGUCCCGGAUGGUUCGGCUAUGUUAUCUGUGGACUUCCAACUGCACCGGUCCAUAACUAUGACACUACGAUAAUCAAAAGUGUUAAGAUCGAGAAGAGGCAGAACUAAAAACACAUGAAUCAUAGAGAAAGUAGGACAAGUUGCCUAAAAGCUUCAGCUUCUUUCCAAGCUAAAGAUCCACCCUGUCUUCCAUAGAAGUUGUUUGCCAACAGUCCCUCGAUAUCUGUGAAAACUUAGAAAAACAUAACAUAAUAUAAGCAAAAGAUCCUUAUAGGCGACACCAACUAGUUUGAACUAAGGCGUCAUGUUGAUACACUUACAUACCUUUGGUGUUCGCCAGGAGUCUUUUUAUAUUGCUCAGAGUAUUGUAUGUCGGUAAUGCAGAGAACCUCUAGUGUUAGACAACUCCUAAUUUAUUUGUAAAGACAAAUUAUCAAAAGGAAACGGUCCCCUGGAGCUGAACUAUUUCCUAUCCCAUCUAGUUCAGGAUUGAGGCACAGUUAUUGUGUUUCUGGUAGUGACAAGCCUUCAAUAUAUUAUUUAAUAUUGCACUUGUGGAUACCAAAAGGCUAAGCAAUAGUCAAAGUAAAGAUGACCACCAAAUUGACAAAGGAGCACCUGAAAACAAACUAUCCAUUAGAUGCGCUUUAGUUAAUCUAAGUCCCUCUAUUUAACCCCCUUCCGAAAAGAAAACCCACCCUUUAUUGCUUUUUUUUUAGCAAGCACCCUUUUUCUUGCUUUUUUGUACAUUUGUUGUAAGUUUAGAAGUGAAAGACGCAAUAGCGUGUAGGCACAGCUCUUAGAGAACAAGGAUAUGGAUUAGAUGCGCUUUAAUUAAUCUAAGUCCCUCUAUUUAACCCCCUUCCGAAAAGAAAACCCACCCUUUAUUGCUUUUUUUUUAGCAAGCACCCUUUUUCUUGCUUUUUUGUACAUUUGUUGUAAGUUUAGAAGUGAAAGACGCAAUAGCGUGUAGGCACAGCUCUUAGAGAACAAGGAUAUGGAAAUAUCUGCAGAUGGGUUAAGAAGACAUGCAUCCAGGUUUCAUAUGAACUUAAACGUCAUUGAAUAAUUACCAGCAAAGAGUGAUAUCUCAAAACCAAAAAUUACUAACGGGAGAAUAUAAGUUAUUUAAACCCUCAGGGUGGCAAUUGACUUGAGCC
rnacentral:lncRNA from 1 species